GUGGGAAUUACUCAGAUCCCCAUCCCUUUCCCAGCCCCGCCGCGGCAACAUUUAUUGCAAAAGCAGGAAAUUGCUUAUUACUAAACUAGCUGGCAAGGGAGCAGAGCCGAUGCUGUUCCACACUGGAACAGCACUUGCUUAGCUGCUGACUUCCCUGCCUCUCCUUGUUCCGCUCUUUCUUCUUCUUCUUUCCCUUCUUUCUCUCCUCUCUCCCUCGCUCUCUCUUCCUUUUUUCAUUUUGGCUUCUAUUCAAAUGUGGGUCAGGGGUGAGCGGCUCCCAACGUCACAAGCUUGCAAGAUGGCGCUGGGAGGAAGGCUGUGAGAUGAGGAACAGGCUGGUAUAAACCGAGAGGACAGGAGAGGGAGAGGAGGAGAGGGGAAAGGGAAGAAAAGCUACUGCUCCAGAUGCAAUAAGAAGCGUCCCUGCUGGUUCUCCAUUCUGCAUCCGUGCAGCCACGUUCUAUUGAUGGCCUGUUGUGAUUUCAAUGGAACAUCAUGGGAUGUACCUGGCACGUCGGGCAGCACUGGAUGGAGGUGCCUUUAGCCCAAUGUACCUGGCAUGGUGGUAAGGUGAAGGU
ensembl:lncRNA